rnacentral:lncRNA from 1 species
UCACAGAUGCUGCUCGGGGCCAGCCCUAUACUCCCUCCAGUGCCUGGACUCCCGUGGACCCGCGGGGCUCUGCAGUUCUCAGACGGCCGCGCCUUGUGAGCGCUAAGCCGGGAGGAGGGCGCAGGCAGGGCGCACAGCUCUGAGCGCGCCCCUACCCGGCUCGGGCCCGCAGCAGCCCCGACUGUCCGAGAGCCUCUCCGCAAGCAAGGCUCUGCGCCGCCCUCUGAGCCCACCUCCUGGCCACAACGCCGCCUGCGCUUCUCCAGCCCAGGCCGGAAGCCCUACGCUGCCUCCUGAAGCCGGACUUUCUGGAAGCCCAUCUCCGUAUGCUCACCAGCCCACCCUCCUACGCUGGUCAGAGUGAGAUUGCUAACCUCAAGACCCCAUUCAAUGCCAGCUUUCAACUGCUGCUGAAGACCAAUGUAGGUCCUGGAUUAGAAGAACCGCAGAGUAUCCGGAGCUGGCCGACCCCAGACUGAUUCUCAACAGGUGGCUGGGUAGUGCCCCCCCCCCUGCUCUGUGUUGGUCGUGCCGGGACCCAUCGCACACAGAGAAGCCACCUUACCCCUCACCUCACCCCGUCGGCCCAAAGACUGACCACCCUCGCCCGAGUCGGGGGGUGGGGUGGGAAUCCCGGAUCACACACACACACACACACACACACACACACACACACACCAGGGUAGGGGAACAGGGAGGAUCUUACCUGCAGAAAGGUAAGAGAAGCCGGGAGCGUGU